CACGUAGGGGGCGAGCGUUGUCCGGAUUUAUUGGGCGUAAAGAGCUCGUAGGCGGUUUGUCGCGUCUGCUGUGAAAUCCCGAGGCUCAACCUCGGGCUUGCAGUGGGUACGGGCAGACUAGAGUGCGGUAGGGGAGACUGGAAUUCCUGGUGUAGCGGUGGAAUGCGCAGAUAUCAGGAGGAACACCGAUGGCGAAGGCAGGUCUCUGGGCCGCAACUGACGCUGAGGAGCGAAAGCAUGGGGAGCGAACAGG
rnacentral:rRNA from 1 species